GUAGGGAAUAUUGGGCAAUGGAUGCAAGUCUGACCCAGCCAUCCCGCGUGCCGGAAGAAGGCCCUCAGGGUUGUAAACGACUUUUGACGGUGAAGAAUCGAUAGGAUGCGUCCUGUUGUGACGGUAGCCGUUGAAUAAGCACCGGCUAACUCCGUGCCAGCAGCCGCGGUAAUACGGAGGGUGCGAGCGUUGUCCGGAUUUAUUGGGUUUAAAGGGUGCGUAGGCUGGAAGGUCAGUCAGCGGUGAAAAGCUGUCGCUUAACGAUAGUCUUGCCGCAGAUACUUCCUUUCUUGGAUGAGGAGGAGGCCACUGGAACGGAUGGUGUAGCGGUGAAAUGCAUAGAUAUCAUCCAGAACACCGAUUGCGAAGGCAGGUGGCUGUACCUUAAUCGACGCUGAUGCACGAAAGCAUGGGGAGCAAACAGGAUUAGAUACCCGUGUAGUCC
rnacentral:rRNA from 1 species